GUGCCCUUUUAAGGUUGUCAAGGUACUUUAAGAGGCUAACACAGAAGGGUAAAGGAACUCUCCAAAAAACCCCUGGAGGAGACUGUACACCUCCUUCUUGGAUCCUGUCUGGAGUCACAGAA
rfam:Cricetulus griseus cell line CHO-K1, whole genome shotgun sequence.